UAGUUAUGUUUCUCCUCGUAGUUAAAAACCAAGCUGACAUAAGUAAUUUUCUAUUUUAAUUCUCUCUCCUGAAAAAAGAAAAAAAAACACUCACUCACUCUUGCAGUUGCCGGGAGUUUCUCCGGCGAUCUUUCAGGCUAAAGAUUAUCUGAGCUUGAUCGUGAUCAAUGGCGUGAAUGAGCGAAACGGCGUAGUAAAGAGUGGCGUGUGUUAGUGAAAGUAGAACUUCGAGUUUCGAGUGGAGAUCACCUGAGAACGAGUUUUGUGAGUUGGUUUUAGUCUUGAUUCGGCGAGUCUCUGUGAACUUGGCUAACGGCAAAAAAUGUCUUUCCAGCAGAAAAGCUUUUGGAUGACCAGAGAUGUGGGGUGUUUAACUGAUGGAGAUAUAGGUUUCGAUAAUUCCUCAAGAAUGGAACCAAAGCGUGGUCAUCAGUGGCUUAUGGAUAGCACUGGACCUGAAUUGUUCAGUAACAAGAAACAAGCAGUUGAACCAUCUAGCAACAACAGGCCAGUAAUGGGAAUGUCGCACAUGAACAUUUCUCCAUGGAAUAACACUUCCUGCUUCCAGUCGGUUUCAGGGCAAUUUAAUGACCGUCUGUUUGGGUUUGAACCAUUGCGGAUUAACAGUGGUAGCAACGUGCCUUCUGCCAGCAAUGGAAAUAUGAACAUGGAAAGAAAGGAUUUCAAUGACCUAUAUGGCAGCAAUUGCUCGAUGGGUUUGUCUAUGUCUCAUAACGUUGAAGAUCCCCCUUCAUCUUUUAGUUUUGGUGGCCUCAGAAAAGUGAGAGUCAAUCAAGUUAGAGACUCAAGCAAUGACAUUUCUUCAUCUGUGGGGCACUCCUAUAGUAGAGGAGAUGACAAUAUAAUUUCAAUGGGUACUGCCUAUAAUAAGAGGGAGAGCAAUGCCAUCUCUUUGGGCUCUACUUAUAACAAUGGGGAUGAGAAUACCAUCUCAAUCAGCCCCACAUUCAGCAAGGCAGAUGGCAGUUUCAUUUCAAUGGGUCAUGCAUUUAACAAGGAUGAUGACAAUUUCAUAUCAAUGGGCCAGGGUUAUAACAAGGGAGAUGAGAGUAUCUUAUCAAUGGGUCAGCCGUUUGACAAGAAGGAUGCCAAUUUCAUAACAAUGGGUCCAUCUUAUGACAAGGAAGAUAACCAUUUCAUAUCAAUGGCUCUCUCCUACAAUAAGGGACAUGAGAGUUUCAUUUCAAUGGGACCCUCCUAUGAUAAAACGAGUGAAAAUUUCAUUUUGAUGGGCUCCUCAUUUAGCAAGGGAGGAGAUAAUGUCAUAUCAAACAGUCCAAUAUAUGACAAGGCAGAUAUUGAUAUCGCAUCCAUGACUCCUGCCCAGGACAAGGGGAAUUCUGGUAUUCUAUCCAUUGGUCACAACUACAACAAGGGUGACAACAAUUCCAUUUCUUUUCAAAGCUUUCAUGAUGAACCUGAGACAAAUAUGUCUGGCAAUGUUAUUAGAGGCUAUGACCUGCUAGUGAGCAAUCAGAACACUGCUCAAACUUCAGAAGUACCGGUUCAGAACAAUUUGCCUCAGACAAAUGUUGAUCCACAAUUGAAUACCAAUACUGCAUCAAAGGUCAUUGCAAAUACACAAUUAAAUAGUGGUCUGGAAGCUAAUUCCAAAACUGAUACUGACACCAAGGGUAAAGAGCCAAAGACAUCAAUCAAUGCAGCCCCCAAGAAUAAAGAGCCAAAGACAACAAUUGAUUCUGCAUCCAAGAAUAAAGAGCUGAAGACAUCUAAGAAGAUCCCUCCUAACAACUUCCCCUCAAAUGUCAAGAGCUUGCUAUCAACUGGCUUGCUUGACGGGGUUGCUGUGAAAUAUGUUUCCUGGUCGAGGGAGAAAACUCUUAGAGGAACUAUAAAAGGGACUGGGUAUUUAUGUAGUUGCAAAGUAUGCGGCAAUAAGGUUUUGAAUGCAUAUGAAUUUGAGCGACAUGCUAACUGCAAGACCAAGCAUCCCAAUAACCAUAUUUACUUUGAGAACGGGAAGACCAUCUAUGCAGUUGUUCAAGAACUGAAGAACACUCCUCAGGAGAUGCUGUUCAAUGCGAUCGAAACUGUUACUGGAUCUGCUAUUAAUCAGAAGAAUUUCCUUAGCUGGAAAGCAUCAUAUGAAGCUGCCACCCGUGAACUUCAGCGCAUCUAUGGAAAGGAGGAAGUCACUCUACCAUCUUGAGAUGAAGACCCUGCUUUUAGAAUAAGUGAGGUGAUUGACAGCGACAAAAAUUGCCCUUCUGUGAGCAAAUGUGAGUAGCGUUGCUCCUCCAAUGUUUACCAGUGUCCCAACCACCUUUGACUGAGCGUGCAGCCUCCUAAUAUCCACCUCCUCAAGCCUGUUACCUGAAGAUGCAAGCCAUUCCAAAUGUCAUGGCAGGAAGAAUAUUGCACACGGCAAACACGAAAGGUGGCGGAGGUGAUUUUCAGCUGAUUGUGGAACAAUCAAGAACUGGCCUUGUAAAGGUAACAGAUACCAGAAUUAUGUCAGCAACUGCAUAAGUUCUAUAAAGAAUGUUUAGAGAUGAUAAAUAAAUACAUCCUGUAGUUUACUAAUUUGAUUGUCAUUACUCAAAGUAGCUUAGUAAGUUUAUCUUGGAGAAUGUCCACAGAGUCAUCUUUGGCCUUGAA